rfam:Felis catus isolate Cinnamon breed Abyssinian chromosome B2, whole genome shotgun sequence.
GCCUGGGUGGCUCAGUGGGUUAAGCGUCCGACUCUGGCUCAGGUCACGAUCUCGGGGUUCGUGGGUUCGAGCCCCGCAUUGGGCU